CCUACGGGAGGCAGCAGUGAGGAAUAUUGGUCAAUGGCCGCAGGGCUGAACCAGCCAAGUCGCGUGAGGGAUGACGGUCCUAUGGAUUGUAAACCUCUUUUGUCAGGGAGCAAAGGGCGCCACGUGUGGCGCUUUGCGAGUACCUGAAGAAAAAGCAUCGGCUAACUCGGUGCCAGCAGCCGCGGUAAUACGGAGGAUGCGAGCGUUAUCCGGAUUUAUUGGGUGUAAGGGGUGCGCAGGCGGAAUGUCAAGUCAGCGGUAAAAUUUCGGGGCUCAACCCCGUCGUGCCGUUGAAACUGGCGUUCUUGAGUGAGCGAGAAGUAUGCGGAAUGCGUGGUGUAGCGGUGAAAUGCAUAGAUAUCACGCAGAACUCCGAUUGCGAAGGCAGCAUACCGGCGCUCAACUGACGCUCAUGCACGAAAGCGUGGGUAUCGAACAGGAUUAGAUACCCGGGUAGUC
rnacentral:rRNA from 1 species